rnacentral:rRNA from 1 species
UAAUUGAAGAGUUUGAUCAUGGCUCAGAUUGAACGCUGGCGGCAGGCCUAACACAUGCAAGUCGAGCGGUAACAGAAAGUAGCUUGCUACUUUGCUGACGAGCGGCGGACGGGUGAGUAAUGCUUGGGAACAUGCCUUGAGGUGGGGGACAACAGUUGGAAACGACUGCUAAUACCGCAUAAUGUCUACGGACCAAAGGGGGCUUCGGCUCUCGCCUUUAGAUUGGCCCAAGUGGGAUUAGCUAGUUGGUGAGGUAAUGGCUCACCAAGGCAACGAUCCCUAGCUGGUUUGAGAGGAUGAUCAGCCACACUGGAACUGAGACACGGUCCAGACUCCUACGGGAGGCAGCAGUGGGGAAUAUUGCACAAUGGGCGAAAGCCUGAUGCAGCCAUGCCGCGUGUGUGAAGAAGGCCUUCGGGUUGUAAAGCACUUUCAGUCAGGAGGAAAGGGUGUGAGUUAAUACCUCA